rnacentral:rRNA from 1 species
UACGUAGGGGGCAAGCGUUGUCCGGAAUUAUUGGGCGUAAAGCGCGCGCAGGCGGUCCUUUAAGUCUGAUGUGAAAGCCCACGGCUCAACCGUGGAGGGUCAUUGGAAACUGGGGGACUUGAGUACAGAAGAGAAGAGUGGAAUUCCACGUGUAGCGGUGAAAUGCGUAGAGAUGUGGAGGAACACCAGUGGCGAAGGCGACUCUUUGGUCUGUAACUGACGCUGAGGCGCGAAAGCGUGGGGAGCAAACAGG